AGCAGCCGCGGUAAUUCCAGCUCCAAUUGCGUAUAUUAAAGUUGUUGCAGUUAAAAAGCUCGUAGUUGAAUUUCGAGACCGGUCUACUGGUCGUGCUUUUGUACGUACUGGUAUAAUCGGUUUCUCUCUUCUGACGAACUAUAAUGCCAUUAAUUUGGUGUUUUAGGGAAUCAGGACUGUUACUUUGAAAAAUUAGAGUGUUUAAAGCAGGCUCACGCUUGAAUACAUUAGCAUGGAAUAACGAAAUAGGACGUUUGAUUCUAUUUUGUUGGUUUCUAGGAUCGACGUAAUGACUAAUAGGGAUAGUUGGGGGCAUUAGUAUUCAAUUGUCAGAGGUGAAAUUCUUGGAUUUAUUGAAGACUAACUACUGCGAAAGCAUUUGCCAAGGAUGUUUUCAUUAAUCAAGAACGAAAGUUAGGGGAUCGAAGACGAUCAGAUACCGUCGUAGUCUUAACCAUAAACUAUGCCGACUAGGGAUCGGAUGAUGUUAAAUUAUGACUCAUUCGGCACCUUACGGGAA
rnacentral:rRNA from 1 species